rnacentral:rRNA from 1 species
CCUACGGGAGGCAGCAGUGGGGAAUAUUGGACAAUGGGCGAAAGCCUGAUCCAGCAAUGCCGCGUGAGUGAUGAAGGCCUUAGGGUUGUAAAGCUCUUUUACCAGGGAUGAUAAUGACAGUACCUGGAGAAUAAGCUCCGGCUAACUCCGUGCCAGCAGCCGCGGUAAUACGGAGGGAGCUAGCGUUGUUCGGAAUUACUGGGCGUAAAGCGUACGUAGGCGGUUAUUCAAGUCAGAGGUGAAAGCCUGGAGCUCAACUCCAGAACUGCCUUUGAAACUAGGUAGCUAGAAUCACGGAGAGGUUAGUGGAAUUCCGAGUGUAGAGGUGAAAUUCGUAGAUAUUCGGAAGAACACCAGUGGCGAAGGCGACUAACUGGACGUGUAUUGACGCUGAGGUACGAAAGCGUGGGGAGCAAACAGGAUUAGAUACCCUGGUAGUCCACGCCGUAAACGAUGAUAACUAGCUGUUCGGUCUCUACGAGACUGAGUGGCGCAGCUACGACAUUAAGUUAUUACCGUCCGUCGGGUAGGUACGGUCGCGAGAAUUAAACUUACAAUAGAUUAGACGGCGUGAGACGUGCCGAACGGACGACGACGAGGGAGGUAGG